rnacentral:rRNA from 1 species
UACAGAGGGUGCGAGCGUUAAUCGGAAUUACUGGGCGUAAAGCGUGCGUAGGCGGUUAUCUAAGUCGGAUGUGAAAGCCCCGGGCUCAACCUGGGAAUUGCAUUCGAGACUGAAUAGCUAGGGUACGGUAGAGGGAAGUGGAAUUUCCGGUGUAGCGGUGAAAUGCGCAGAUAUCAGGAAGAACACCCGUGGCGAAGGCGGCUCUCUGGGACGGUACUGACGCUGAGACGCGAAAGCGUGGGGAGCGAACAGG